rnacentral:rRNA from 1 species
AAGACACAAUUUGCACAGGUGCUGCAUGGCUGUCGUCAGCUCGUGUCGUGAGAUGUUGGGUUAAGCCCCGCAACGAGCGCAACCCCUGUGAACUGUUGCCACGGAACCGAGAGGUUCCAGCACUCUGUUCAGACUGCCUCGCUUAAACGAGGAGGAAGGUGGGGACGACGUCAAGUCAGUAUGGCCCUUACGGCCUGGGCUGCACACGUACUACAAUGCCCAGUACAGAACGAUCCGAUACCGCGAGGUGGAGGAAAUCACUUAAAACUGGGCCCAGUUCGGAUUGGAGGCUGCAAUUCGCCUCCAUGAAGCCGGAAUCGCUAGUAAUGGCGCAUCAGCUACGGCGCCGUGAAUACGUUCCCGGGCCUUGUACACACCGCCCGUCACAUCAUGAAAGCCGUUUGUACCCGAAGUCGCCCCUUAAAAGGCGCCGAAGGUAUGGAUGGUGAUUGGGCUGAAGUCGUAACAA